AUUGAACGCUGGCGGCAGGCCUAACACAUGCAAGUCGAGCGAGCGGCGGACGGGUGAGUAAUGCCUGGGAAUUGCCCAGUCGAGGGGGAUAACAGUUGGAAACGACUGCUAAUACCGCAUACGAUUGACUUCCCCAGGUGGGCAUCGCUAGUUGGUGAGGUAAUGGCUCACCAAGGCGACGAUCCCUAGCUGGCCGGAGAGGAGGAUCAGCCACACUGGAACUGAGACACGGUCCGGACUCCUACGGGAGGAAGCAGUGGGGAAUAUUGCACAAUGGGGGAAACACUGAUGAAGCCAUGCCGCGGGGGUGAAGAAGGCCUUCGGGUUGUAAAGCACUUUCAGCGAGGAGGCGUUACUCGCAGAAGAAGCACCGGCUAACUCCGUGCCAGCAGCCGCGGUAAUAC
rnacentral:rRNA from 1 species